rnacentral:rRNA from 1 species
AUACGUAGGUGGCAAGCGUUGUCCGGAUUUACUGGGUGUAAAGGGUGCGUGGGCGGCUCUGCAAGUCAGGUGUGAAAACCAUCGGCUUAACUGAUGGACUGCAUUUGAAACUGUGGGGCUUGAGUGGAGUAGAGGCAGACGGAAUUCCCGGUGUAGCGGUGAAAUGCGUAGAGAUCGGGAAGAACACCAGUGGCGAAGGCGGUCUGCUGGGCUCUAACUGACGCUGAGGCACGAAAGCAUGGGUAGCAAACAGGAUUAGAUACCCUGGUAGUCCAUGCCGUAAACGAUGAUUACUAGGUGUGGGGAGUCUGACCCUCUCCGUGCCGGAGUUAACACAAUAAGUAAUCCACCUGGGAAGUACGACCGCAAGGUUAAA